rnacentral:lncRNA from 12 species
AUGAAGUGCCUCCAACCCUCAAAAAAUGAACAGGGAAAAAAAUUAUGUUUUUUCCUUAAUUUUGUCACCAUAAAAUCAUCUUCUUGCUCUGAUACACCUGACAUUUCUUGCUUGAUUGUGGAACUACAGGAGGUGAUAUUGGAGGAAAGAAGGUCUCUCUGGGAGGCAGAAGGUGAUGCUGGAAAAGCAGGCCAAUUUAGAGCUUUAUGGAAAACAAGACUGAGGGAUGACUGCUGGCUUCCUUGUCUCCUCUGCAGAUUCCUGAAGUUACGUCUUCUAAAUACUCUUCCUGCUGAUCCAGUAAUAAGCUGGCCAAUGCAAUGCUAAGACCACCUUGGAACACCACCUCCCGGUGUGAAUGUGGGAAGAGGCACUUGAAGGGGUUGCUGAUUCUGGGCUGAGGGUUUUCCACUUGGAAUCCUGGUUCCAAGUUAUAGUCCCAUUAGAAGGAUCCCCAAGGAGUAGACAAAUGUGCUCUAGUAUCCAGUCACCUGUUGGCAGACUCCAAAUAAAAGUGAAACAAGGAGCCUUCA